GAUGAACGCUGGCGGCGUGCCUAAUACAUGCAAGUCGAGCGAAGCGGGGAGGGGUGAGUAACACGUGGGGAACCCCCUAUAAGACUGGGAUUACUUCGUGGAAACGGAGCUAAACCGGAUAAUUAUAGCUGGAUCCGCGCUGCAUUAGCUAGUUGGUAAGGUAACGGCGUACCAAGGCAACGAUGCCUAGCUGACGUGGGAGGGUGAUCGGCCACACUGGAACUGAGACACGGCCCAGUCUCCUACGGGAGGCAGCAGUAGGGAAUCUUGCGCAAUGGGCGAAAGCCUGACGGAGCAACGCCGCGUGAGUGAUGAAGGUCUUCGGAUCGUAAAGCUCUGUUAGUAGGGAGGCGGUACCUAAUCAGAAAGCCACGGCUAACUCCGUGCCAGCAGCCGCGGUAAUAC
rnacentral:rRNA from 1 species